GCUUCAGGAGAAGACGGCGUUCCAGCAGCAGUUCCUCCCAGAGUUUGUCUCGCAGGAGAAGGAGCCGAAGUGCAGACAGAGACAAAGGAAGAAGCCACCGCUCACACAGAUCCCGCAGCCGGGACAGAAGGUCUCAUUCUCGCCACCGACGGUCCCGCAGCAGGAGCAGCAGCCGCGGCCACCGAACAAGCCACAGCC